rnacentral:rRNA from 1 species
ACGGCUCAGUAACACGUGGCCAAACUACCCUUCGGAGCACGAUACCCUCGGGAAACUGAGGCUAAUAGUGCAUACCACAAUCCAGCUGGAAUGAGGAUUGUGCCAAACGCUCCGGCGCCGAAGGAUGUGGCUGCGGCCGAUUAGGUAGACGGUGGGGUAACGGCCCACCGUGCCAAUAAUCGGUACGGGUCAUGAGAGUGAGAACCCGGAGACGGAAUCUGAGACAAGAUUCCGGGCCCUACGGGGCGCAGCAGGCGCGAAACCUUUACACUGCACGCCAGUGCGAUAAGGGAAUCCCAAGUGCGCAGGCAUAGAGCCUGCGCUUUUGUACACCGUAGGGAGGUGUACGAAUAAGGGCUGGGCAAGACCGGUGCCAGCCGCCGCGGUAAUACCGGCAGCCCGAGUGAUGGCCGAUUUUAUUGGGCCUAAAGCGUCCGUAGCUGGCCGCACAAGUCCAUCGGAAAAUCCACCCGCUCAACGGGUGGGCGUCCGGUGGAAACUGUGUGGCUUGGGACCGGAAGGCGCGACGGGUACGUCCGGGGUAGGAGUGAAAUCCCGUAAUCCUGGACGGACCGCCGAUGGCGAAAGCACGUCGCGAGGACGGAUCCGACAGUGAGGGACGAAAGCCAGGGUCUCGAACCGGAUUAGAUACCCGGGUAGUCCUGGCCGUAAACAAUGUCUGUUAGGUGUGGCUCCCACUACGAGUGGGUGCUGUGCCGUAGGGAAGCCGCUAAACAGACCGCCUGGGAAGUACGUCCGCAAGGAUGAAACUUAAAGGAAUUGGCGGGGGAGCAC